AACGAACGCUGGCGGCAUGCCUAACACAUGCAAGUCGAACGAGACCUUCGGGUCUAGUGGCGCACGGGUGCGUAACGCGUGGGAACCUGCCCUUAGGUUCGGAAUAACUCCCCGAAAGGGGUGCUAAUACCGGAUAAUGUCUUCGGACCAAAGAUUUAUCGCCUUUGGAUGGGCCCGCGUUGGAUUAGCUAGUUGGUAGGGUAAAAGCCUACCAAGGCGACGGUCCAUAGCUGGUCUGAGAGGAUGAUCAGCCACACUGGGACUGAGACACGGCCCAGACUCCUACGGGAGGCAGCAGUGGGGAAUAUUGGACAAUGGGCGAAAGCCUGAUCCGGCAAUGCCGCGUGAGUGAUGAAGGCCUUAGGGUUGUAAAGCUCUUUUACCCGGGAUGAUAAUGACAGUACCGGGAGAAUAAGCUCCGGCUAACUCCGUG
rnacentral:rRNA from 1 species